GACGGUACCUUAUCAGAAAGCGACGGCUAACUAUGUGCCAGCAGCCGCGGUAAUACAUAGGUCGCAAGCGUUAUCCGGAAUUAUUGGGCGUAAAGAGUUCGUAGGUGGUCUUGUCAGUCUGAAGUUAAAGCCCGGGGCUCAACCCCGGCCCGCUUUGGAUACUGCAAGACUAGAGUAUUAGAGAGGUUAGUGGAACUCCAUGUGAAGCGGUGGAAUGCGUAGAUAUAUGGAAGAACACCAAUGGCGAAGGCAACUAACUGGCUAAUAACUGACACUGAGGAACGAAAGCGUGGGUAGCAAACAGGAUUAGAUACCCUGGUAGUCCACGCUGUAAACGAUGAUCACUAGACGGUAGAGGAUUUACUGUCACAGCUAACGCAUUAAGUGAUCCGCCUGAGUAGUAUGCUCGCAAGAGUGAAACUCAAAGGAAUUG
rnacentral:rRNA from 1 species